UAUUUCAUUAAAUUCCUUGUCAAUAAAUAAUUUAUAUCCAUCCUGAACGAGCGCAAUGGAAUUUUUGACGCGAUAGUCGGAUCGACACAAGUAAUACUCCUAUCGAAAGAAGCACAUUGUCGUAUAUAGUUUCGCUAUACCAAUUUUAGUGUUCCUUUGUAAAUCAAUAUAAAUUUUACAAGAAUUCAUUGCUUAAAACGCAUCCUUUGCAACGGAUUUAACACUGAAAUUCGGAACGUUUUCUUUGAAUGUACUUUCGCCAGACACAUCGCAACUCGCGCACAUUGCAGCCCAUUACAAAAAAGGAAACUUGUAGCCGCCGACGUUGUAAACGCUUUGAAGUGGUUUACACUGAUUAGUCUGGUGGAUUGGACAAAAAAUACGCAUGUUGCAGCUUGGCCCAGUCACCGAACGACGAUGGGGUCUACGUACCCACCGCGAUCCCCACCCGAAAAAAAACUCAACAGCCUUUUGCCCCCUGGUACAUUCAGAUCAACGCCGUCACUAAUGAUGAUUGGCAACUAUUCAAAUGAUUAAAGGGUGCACAAAUGAUGAUAUAGCGGCGGGUCUGGAAAGUUGGCGUGAGUGAGGACAGGACUUAGGAAGGCGGAGCUGUGGCUUCUGUUAAGCGCAGCUCUUCGGCGGGUGAACAUUUAAAAGUGUUGCCCAGAAUUAACGCCAGGACAUACAGAGCAGGUUGCCCCUUCUAAUUCAUGUGGGAGAAAAUUAAUUAGAAAAUGGUGCACUAGUGAGCAGACGAAAUUAUCAGGCCUGUUCCAGUUUUCACAUUGU